CCUUGACCCGGCGAUGUCCGAAUGGGGAAACCCAGUGCAAUUCGUUGCACUAUCGUUAACUGAAUACAUAGGUUAACGAGGCGAACCGGGGGAACUGAAACAUCUAAGUACCCCGAGGAAAAGAAAUCAACCGAGAUUCCCCCAGUAGCGGCGAGCGAACGGGGAGCAGCCCGGAGUCUGAAUCAGCUUGUGUGUUAGUGGAACGGUCUGGAAAGUCCGACGGUACAGGGUGAUAGUCCCGUACACGAAAACACACUUGCUGUGAACUCGAAGAGUAGGGCGGGACACGUGGUAUCCUGUCUGAAUAUGGGGGGACCAUCCUCCAAGGCUAAAUACUCCUGACUGACCGAUAGUGAACCAGUACCGUGAGGGAAAGGCGAAAAGAACCCCGGCGAGGGGAGUGAAAAAGAACCUGAAACCGUGUACGUACAAGCAGUGGGAGCCUCUUUAUGGGGUGACUGCGUACCUUUUGUAUAAUGGGUCAGCGACUUAUAUUCUGUAGCAAGGUUAACCGUAUAGGGGAGCCGAAGGGAAACCGAGUCUUAACUGGGCGUUAAGUUGCAGGGUAUAGACCCGAAACCCGGUGAUCUAGCCAUGGGCAGGUUGAAGGUUGGGUAACACUAACUGGAGGACCGAACCGACUAAUGUUGAAAAAUUAGCGGAUGACCUGUGGCUGGGGGUGAAAGGCCAAUCAAACCGGGAGAUAGCUGGUUCUCCCCGAAAGCUAUUUAGGUAGCGCCUCGUGAACUCAUCUUCGGGGGUAGAGCACUGUUUCGGCUAGGGGGCCAUCCCGGCUUACCAACCCGAUGCAAACUACGAAUACCGAAGAAUGUUAUCACGGGAGACACACGGCGGGUGCUAACGUCCGUCGUGAAGAGGGAAACAACCCAGACCGCCAGCUAAGGUCCCAAAGUCAUGGUUAAGUGGGAAACGAUGUGGGAAGGCACAGACAGCCAGGAUGUUGGCUUAGAAGCAGCCAUCAUUUAAAGAAAGCGUAAUAGCUCACUGGUCGAGUCGGCCUGCGCGGAAGAUGUAACGGGGCUAAACCAUGCACCGAAGCUGCGGCAGCGACACUAUGUGUUGUUGGGUAGGGGAGCGUUCUGUAAGCCGUUGAAGGUGUGCUGUGAGGCAUGCUGGAGGUAUCAGAAGUGCGAAUGCUGACAUAAGUAACGAUAAAGCGGGUGAAAAGCCCGCUCGCCGGAAGACCAAGGGUUCCUGUCCAACGUUAAUCGGGGCAGGGUGAGUCGACCCCUAAGGCGAGGCCGAAAGGCGUAGUCGAUGGGAAACAGGUUAAUAUUCCUGUACUUGGUGUUACUGCGAAGGGGGGACGGAGAAGGCUAUGUCAGCCGGGCGACGGUUGUCCCGGUUUAAGCAUGUAGGCGGAGGUUCCAGGUAAAUCCGGUACCUUAUUAACGCUGAGGUGUGAUGACGAGGCACUACGGUGCUGAAGUGAUAAAUGCCCUGCUUCCAGGAAAAGCCUCUAAGCAUCAGGUAACACGAAAUCGUACCCCAAACCGACACAGGUGGUCAGGUAGAGAAUACCAAGGCGCUUGAGAGAACUCGGGUGAAGGAACUAGGCAAAAUGGUGCCGUAACUUCGGGAGAAGGCACGCUGAUAGGUAGGUGAAGCCCCUGCGGGCGGAGCUGAAAUCAGUCGAAGAUACCAGCUGGCUGCAACUGUUUAUUAAAAACACAGCACUGUGCAAACACGAAAGUGGACGUAUACGGUGUGACGCCUGCCCGGUGCCGGAAGGUUAAUUGAUGGGGUUAGCGGCAACGCGAAGCUCUUGAUCGAAGCCCCGGUAAACGGCGGCCGUAACUAUAACGGUCCUAAGGUAGCGAAAUUCCUUGUCGGGUAAGUUCCGACCUGCACGAAUGGCGUAAUGAUGGCCAGGCUGUCUCCACCCGAGACUCAGUGAAAUUGAACUCGCUGUGAAGAUGCAGUGUACCCGCGGCAAGACGGAAAGACCCCGUGAACCUUUACUAUAGCUUGACACUGAACACUGGUCCUUGAUGUGUAGGAUAGGUGGGAGGCUUUGAAGCGUGGACGCCAGUCUGCGUGGAGCCGCCCUUGAAAUACCACCCUUUAAUGGCUGGUGUUCUAACGUAGACCCGU
rnacentral:rRNA from 1 species